CGAGUGAUCCUGAGGUCACCCAGCAAGCUUGCUUGUGUGGUCUUUCUUCAUUCCUGUGAUCAUCCUCAGCGGUAACAGACAGUACAAGAAGACAGUUAUGUCUAUGGGCAGGGGAAUAAUGGCUAUAGCAGUGGUGGGAGGCACCUGCAUUGCUGGAUAUAGCAUAAUGGCAGUUAUAAGUCCUAGCAGAGAAACCAUGCUGCAGAAAUGUCCAGAGAAACACCCUGUGGCCAUGUUGGAGAGUCAGCAGAGAUCCGCCUCUGUCAUGUCAGUUCUUAAGUACGCUGCAGAGACUGACCAAGCGGCCUGGAAUGACAAAUUCUGGUUUGACCAGAAGAAACACCAGAAACAAGACUGAACAUUUAGAGAAACUCGUGGAAAGAGAGGACACUGUUUGCGCUAGCCUAGCCUCUUGUGCAGACUUCUAGCAGGGCAGCAUUUUAGUGGAAUUUUCUAUUUGACCUUGUUUGGGGAAAGCUACAUGUAUAUCCAUGGAGAAAGCUGUAUCACCUGCACUAGUUGUAUCCCUGGCACCUGAAGUUGUUGAAGAGGCAUAUCUGUUCAUGGCAUACUAGUAACUCCUUCUGCUGCAUUUAUAGAGAACCUUUGCCCAUGUAAAAAAAUAUGGUGUAUCAGGACCCCCCCCCCCCAAAAAAAAAUGCUGCUGCUCCAAGAAGGCUGCAAAAGAGGCUACGUAACUUGGGCCAGUCUUGAGACUCCCUCUAAUGGUAUAUAUUAUGCUGAAACGCACAAUUUUUGUAUCUUCGUAAUGUCUUAACUUCAGUGCGAAGUAAGUAGUCUGUUGGUUGUGCUCUCCCACUAGAAACUACCAGAGGGUGACCCUGCAAAGAUGGCCGAGAGCAGAGCCAGAUCAGCGCUCAUGAUGGCCAAACUGAAGGAGGUCGCCGAGUCAGACAAGCCGUUUUGGAUGGAGGAGGACAGGGAUGGCAGGAAACGAUAGCAGCACUUCCAGAACAAGAAUGUACUAAAUGGAAUGACUUUUUUGCAAGGACUGUCUGUAAUAAAUUAGGAUCAGCGUUGUAUGUGCAUCCCUAAGAGAGUAGAUUGAUUUGCUGUGACUGUGAUACGAGUUACUGUUUGGAAAUUAUGUUGUAUAUAGAAAUUGAUGAACAAAAUGAUGAAUUGACAUUGAAUAUGAUCAAGGACAUUAUCUCAAUAUUAUGUAGGGUCCUUGUUAUUAUAAACAUGUAACACGUUAUAUGCCAGAAGUGGACCCAGAGAAAAGAACUCUGAAAGAGACCUAAGUCAGCUUACAGAUGUGCCCUAUGUGGCAGAGAUUGUUAUUCUCAUAUAGGACUGUUCAGGAGACAAUUGAAGGGUGUGGUAAAGACCUUUUUUUAAGCAUAUUGAUGAUUAUACAAUUGACUUAGGUUAUGCAGUGAUACACUCUUAUCUAGUUGUCUUUGUUGCUGUACAUCUAAAUAUUAAAUAAAUUACAUCUAACUGCAUUUUACUCACCAUAUCGAGUCUACUGGAUCUACCAGUUACAAGUUAUAGCUA